GGGCCCGCACAAGCGGUGGAGGAUGUGGCUUAAUUCGAGGCUACGCGAAGAACCUUACCUAGACUUAACAUGUUUGAGAAUCUCUGUGAAAGCAGAGAGUGCCUUUCGGGGGAAACUCUUACGUAGGUGCUGCAUGGCUGUCGUCAGCUCGUGUCGUGAGAUGUCGGGUUAAGUCCCUUAACGAGCGAAACCCUUAUCUUCAGUUGCCAGCGAGUAAUGUCGGGGACUCUGGAGAGACUGCCGGUGUUAAACCGGAGGAAGGUGGGGAUGACGUCAAGUCCUCAUGGCCUUUAUGUCUAGGGCUGCACACGUCCUACAAUGCAAUCGUACAAAGCGACGCGAAAUCGCGGAUC
rnacentral:rRNA from 1 species